rnacentral:rRNA from 1 species
GCGGAGGAAAAGAAACCAACAGGGAUUGCCCCAGUAACGGCGAGUGAAGCGGCAACAGCUCAAAUUUGAAAUCUGGCCUCACGGCCCGAGUUGUAAUUUGCAGAGGAUGCUUUUGGCGCGGCGCCUUCCGAGUGCCCUGGAACGGGACGCCAUAGAGGGUGAGAGCCCCGUCUGGUUGGAUGCCUAGCCUCUGUAAAGCUCCUUCGACGAGUCGAGUAGUUUGGGAAUGCUGCUCAAAAUGGGAGGUAUAUGUCUUCUAAAGCUAAAUAUUGGCCAGAGACCGAUAGCGCACAAGUAGAGUGAUCGAAAGAUGAAAAGCACUUUGAAAAGAGGGUUAAAUAGUACGUGAAAUUGUUGAAAGGGAAGCGCUUGUGACCAGACUUGGGCUUGGUGAAUCAUCCGGCGUUCUCGCCGGUGCACUUUGCCUGUCCAGGCCAGCAUCAGUUCGCUCCGGGGGAUAAAGGCGUGGGGAAUGUGGCUCCUCCGGGAGUGUUAUAGCCCCGCGUGUAAUACCCUGUGGCGGACUGAGGUUCGCGCUCCGCAAGGAUGCUGGCGUAAUGGUCAUCAGCGACCCGUCUUGAAACACGGACCAAGGAGUCGUCUUCGUAUGCGAGUGUUCGGGUGUCAAACCCCUACGCGUAAUGAAAGUGAACGCAGGUGAGAGCUUCGGCGCAUCAUCGACCGAUCCUGAUGUUCUCGGAUGGAUUUGAGUAAGAGCAUACGGGGCCGGACCCGAAAGAAGGUGAACUAUGCCUGUAUAGGGUGAAGCCAGAGGAAACUCUGGUGGAGGCUCGCAGCGGUUCUGACGUGCAAAUCGAUCGUCAAAUAUGGGCAUGGGGGCGAAAGACUAAUCGAACCUUCUAGUAGCUGGUUU